CCUACGGGGCGCAGCAGGCGCGAAAACUUUACAAUGCGGGAAACCGCGAUAAGGGGACACCGAGUGCCAGCAUUUAUGUUGGCUGUCCACAUGUGUAAACGGCAUGUGUUAGCAAGGGCCGGGCAAGACCGGUGCCAGCCGCCGCGGUAA
rnacentral:rRNA from 1 species